AUGGCCCUGUGCAUGUGACAGGCUAUUCUUUAUCCUUUUCUGUAUAGAUUUGGGUCUGGACCUUCACAGCAGCUGUGAUAGGCUUUCUCCCAUGCUCCUGAGAUGCAUCAGUGGACUGUAGCCCAGCUAAGACCAGCAGUCUUCUGCUCCAUUCCCCACUGCUUGGCAGUUACUGCCCUUCCUGGCCAAAGUGAAUCCAGGACAGACACCUGGACCUUGGGUCAUAAGUCAGUUCAUGGGGGUCAGCUGGUGUCAGGUGCCAGUUCUG
rnacentral:lncRNA from 1 species